rnacentral:rRNA from 1 species
UACGGAGGAGCUAGCGUUGUUCGGAAUUACUGGGCGUAAAGCGCACGUAGGCGGCUUGUAAGUUAGAGGUGAAAGCCCGGAGCUCAACUCCGGAACUGCCUUUAAGACUGCAUCGCUUGAAUCCAGGAGAGGUGAGUGGAAUUCCGAGUGUAGAGGUAGAAAUUCGUAGAUAUUCGGAAGGAACACCAGUGGCGAAGGGACGGCU